UUUCCGUUGGUGAACCAGCGGAAGGAUCAUUACAGAGAUCAUGCCCUCACGGGUAGACCUCCCACCCUGUUUAUAUACUAUUGUUGCUUUGGCAGGCCCGUCCUCGGACCGCUGGCUUCGGCUAGUCCGUGCCUGCCAGAGGACCCCAAACUCAUAUUAUCUAUGUCGUCUGAGUACUAUAUAAUAGUUAAAACUUUCAACAACGGAUCUCUUGGUUCUGGCAUCGAUGAAGAACGCAGC
rnacentral:misc_RNA from 1 species